AUUUCAGGGAUGACUGGUGAUAGUGUAGAGUGAUCAGAUUUUUUUCUCUUUUCCAACCAGAAGUCAUUGCACUCAUUUUGGAAAAGUGUGACUGCUCUCAUUCUGCACUGCGCUGGAGGACUUGCUGACACAGCCAGAGAUUGCUCUGCACCCAUAUGGCUGCAAAAGUGGAACACUGGUUUCUCUGGGAACAGGUAUACCUUGCUGAUGCUGCCUUCAAUGCAACAUGCCUGAAGUUCAUCUUCCUCACCUUCAUGUGCAUCUUUGAGGUCACAGAAGGCAUGUACACAUUUAAAUAGGACUGCUGCUUUGGAAACCGAGAAGCUCUGAAGUACAUCUACAUGUUGGUUCCUGACUUCAUGCAGCUCCAUUAGG